ACGCUCGACACCUACGAGAGGCAGCAGUCGGGAAUAUUGCGCAAUGGAGGAAACUCUGACGCAGUGACGCCGCGUAUGGGAAGAAGGUUUUCGGAUUGUAAACCAUUUUAGACAAGGAAGAAACAAGACAGUACUUGUAGAAUAAGCUCCGGCUAACUACGUGCCAGCAGCCGCGGUAAUCUGAGCGGGCUGGCAAGGC
rnacentral:rRNA from 1 species